GGCUUCAGUCCGCUGCACGUAGUUGAACUUUGAUCCGUCAGAAAUUUAUAGAAGAAAAAUUAUCAUUGAAGAUAUUAAAAAGCAAUUGAAGUCCCUCUGGAAAUUGGAAGAGAUGUAUUGGCAUCAAAAAUCUCGCAUUAACUGGUUGAAUUGUGGGGGCAAAAACACCGAGUUUUUCCACUCAACAAUAUCUCAAAGAAGACAACGGAAUCAAAUUAUCUCCAUCAGAGAUAAAUGGGGGGUCAAAAUAAUAGAUGAGGCGCAAAUCAUGAAUGAAGUGGUGCCCUUUUUCUCUAAUCUCUUCCAGGCUAAGGAGGUGGAAGUCUCUGAUUCAAUUUUACAAUCCAUUCCCAACCUGGUUUUGGUUGAUAUAAAUACUUCACUUUGUGCUCCAGUCUCCGAAGAGGAAGUGAGACCAGCUGUUUUCGGGUUAGAAGCGGGUAAAGCGCCUGGUCCUGACGGUCUUCAGGAACUGUUCUACCAUCAUAAUUGGGCAAUGGUGAAGGAUGCAGUGUUCAAUAUGGUUAAUGAUUUUUUUUUCACUCUGGUGUUUUACCCAACCAGUUGAACUCAAAAAACUUGGUCCUUAUCCCCAAAUGCAAUAAUCCUCAAUCUUUCUCUGAAUUUAGACCCAUAAGCUUGUGUAAAUUCUCUUACAAAAUCAUCUCCAAGCUGCUGGCUAAUAGAUUGAAACCAUGGUUGAAUGAUAUAAUUUCUCCUCUUCAAUCUGCGUUUGUCCCCAACAGGAAUAUCCAAGAUAAUAUCAUUAUAGCCCAUGAGGCUUUUCAUGGCCUCAAAUCCAGGAAGAAAGGGAAGAUAGGAGCAAUGGCAAUCAAGGUGGAUAUUCAUAAAGCGUACUAUAGUGUCAAUUGGGACUUUCUCCUUGCUGUUAUGAGAAGGUUGGGCUUCUGUGACAAGUGGAUUUCUUGGAUUUUCCAGUGCAUAUCAACUGUUCAUUACUCAGUGGUCAUUAAUGGUAGUGCUUCGAAUCCUUUUCACCCUACUAGGGGCUUAAAACAAGAUGAUACCAUUUUAUUCGGCAAGGCAUCAAUAGAGGAAGCUUCUCAGUUAAACCGUGUUUUAUUGGAGUAUAGCAGGGCUUCGGGUCAAUGUGUUAAUCAAUCCAAAUUUGAUAUUACUUUCAGCUCUAACACGCCCCUUCAUCUUCAAAAAGAUAUUGCUUCCUUGUUGAAUAUUCCUAAUUCAGGAUCUUUAAACAAGUAUUUGGGCCUACCUGUAGCUUGGGGAAGAUCGAAGUACCAAGCUCUCUCCUUUUUGAAAGACCGAGUUCUCAACAAGCUUCAAGGAUGGAAGAGCAAAUGUUUAUCGCAAGCAGGUAGAGAAGUUUUAAUUAAGGCUGUUGUGCAAGUUUUAAUUAUGGGUUUCAAAGAACUGGAUUUAUUUAAUGAUGCCCUACUAGCUAAACAAGCCUGGAGAAUUUUCAAGUGCCCACAAGCUAUGUGGGUUCGAAUUCUAAAAGGAAUUUAUUUUCCUUAUACAAAUUUUCUUGAUGCAAGAAAGGGUCACAAUGCGUCAUGGGGCUGGAGGAGCAUGAUCGUAGGUAGGGAAGCCAUCCGGCCAGGGAUUAGAUGGAAUGUGAUAGGUCCCUGCCAAAUUUUAGAAUUUCUACUAGCAGACCUCAUGAUAGUCCUAUCCUCUAUGUUGCUGAUAUUAUUAAUCCACACUCAAAGCAAUGGGAUUAUAACAUGUAUGCAUCAUUCUGUUAUUAGUAUGCCUUAGAGCAUAUCAUU
rnacentral:misc_RNA from 1 species